rnacentral:rRNA from 1 species
GCCNUGCCGCGUGAGUGAAGAAGGCCUUCGGGUUGUAAAGCUCUUUCGGACAGAAAGAAAUCGGUCGGGUAAAUAAUCCGGCUGGAUGACGGUACUGUAAGAAGAAGCACCGGCUAACUACGUGCCAGCAGCCGCGGUAAUACGUAGGGUGCGAGCGUUAAUCGGAAUUACUGGGCGUAAAGCGUGCGCAGGCGGUUUUGUAAGACAGCUGUGAAAUCCCCGGGCUCAACCUGGGAACUGCGGUUGUGACUGCAAGACUUGAGUACGGCAGAGGGGGGUGGAAUUCCUGGUGUAGCAGUGAAAUGCGUAGAUAUCAGGAGGAACACCGAUGGCGAAGGCAGCCCCCUGGGCCUGUACUGACGCUCAUGCACGAAAGCGUGGGGAGCAAAGAGGAUUANAUAGCCUGGUAGGCGACGCCCUACCCGAUGUCGACUAAUUGUUCCGAUGGUAAAACCUUUGA